AAAAGUUAUCACGCGAGAUUUCCUGUCUCGAUCUCCUCCGUUGGCGGUACAGUAGAGUCGCACUGGGAGGCUCUAAACUCCAGCAUGAAGUUUUCACCUUUUGUGAUGCAUUUAUCUACAAAUAUGGAGUUUCUGGUAGACGAGCCGCCGUGAACAGGAAUCUUUGUCUGAUGUGGAAUUGGACUCCUCUUGCUGCCAACAAAGGCUAUGCUUCAUCACCGCACUGAAAGGUUCAUGGUUCUCCUGUCCCCGUUUGGCACCGACUACCAAAGGGACUAAGCACGGUGAAAAGGUCUUGACAUCUGCAGAGCAAGACCACUAGACGACACAUGUUGGUGCUGAGAUGAGUUGAACAGAUGAAAUCAGUGAAGUGGACACAACACCGACCCGGGAAUGAUCAAGAAGUCUGGCACCAUAAAUGUAUCAAAUGAAUGAACGUGUUUCAUCUAAAACAUGUUUAAUAAAAUUAAGGUGUUGUAUAAAAUUCAAGCACAUGAAAAGUAACAGGGAUCCUACUGGGGAGCACCCAGCGUGUCUUGGUCAAUCGGUGUUGAAAGAUGAUCUGUAAGAUUUCUUCUUCAAAUUCUCCAAGAAGAUCUGCUCUUCUUGGAGGUAUUCAUGGUCCUGUAAUGAGGAACAGAAACAUAACUUUUUUUUUUUUUUUAAAUGUUUCAAGAAAAUAGUUUUGAAAUGUUAAGCUUCUGCCAGAAGAUUCUUGUAACAAACUGAAUGUGUUGGAAAGCUGAUGGUGGGUUGAGCCAUGUGUUUCAUAUAAGCAUUAAAAUCCUUUACAGUACCAACCUA